rnacentral:lncRNA from 1 species
GGAUGCCCCUCUGUUUUCACAGAUGGGGAAACUGAGGCAAAGUCACUUGGCCAAGGUCUCCCAGCCAGUGAAGAACAAAGCUGGGAUUCAAAUCCAGGCCCACCUGACCACUGCUCUCAACUCUCCUGGUCUGGAGUAUAGACUGGGUUCAGGGAGGUGGGGGUGCCUUUCUAGAGGCACACGUGGACAACCAUGCCUGGCCCUUCACACGAGCAGGACAGCACUGCCCUGGCGAGGUCUACCCAACAAGGGAGGGAGGUCAAGGCCUGAAGCCAGAGCUCUCGCCCCGGGUACCAGGCCCAUCUGUUCUCAAGGUAGUCACCAAGGCCACUUCGCCAAAGUCACACAGCCAACAGGGCACCUCCCCUCAGCUGGGCAAUACCCAUAGUGCCAGACAAAUCAGUCCUGCCCUGCCCCGUGGCCUUUCCUGGCUGCCUGAGAGCCAUAUGUAGACCCCCGCAAGGAAGGAACUGCAGGUCGUGGCGGGGGGGUGGGGGGUCCACUGACUCGCACCGGCCACCUCUCAAGGCAAAACUCUACCGCUCCUCGGAGCUCCAGCAAGAGCAGCUACUCACACUGCACCCUCAGGCCUUUCCUAAACUCCACCCGCUCCCAGAGAACCGUUCCAUUCUUCCAGGUAUGUCAUACGUACCGCUUCCUCCAGGAAGUCUUCCCUGACCCACUUCCUCCAAGACCGCACACAGGCCCCUACCUUGUGCCCCAGGCAGCGACUCUUGAUCCCUAUCUUGAACCCCAGCCUCUGUGGGCUGCCUCCACUUGGCAACAGUAACUGAGCAGCCUGGCCGGGUCCUUCUCUCUGUCCUUCCUUCACAUCUUCAGCGGGAGGCCUCGCUGAGAAGGCCGGCCCUGCUCCAGCAGCCCCUGGCCAAAGCCUCGCCUGAUCAACCCAGUCACCCUCCAACUACCUUGUACUUGGCCGGCUGCUCCCCAGCUCCCCAGGCUAUGCUGACACCCACUGGGCUAUUUCCCACCUCCAAACCUUUGCUCAUGUUGUCUCUUCUUCCUGGCAGGCCCUCACCCUUCUUUUUCCCUCAUGAGCUCCUGCCCACCCUUUAAGCCUCAGGCCAGGUAUCACCUCCUCUGUGAAGCCCUGCUGGCUUCAUAAUAGCUGCCCCAGUUCACAUGGCACCUACCCCACGGUAGGGCAAUGAUCAGCAUCUGUAUCUGGCUCCCUCCAGGGUGCAGGCUCCCAGAGUACAGGUUUGGGGUCCCCAGUGCCCAGCACAAAGCCCAGACCUCACCAGCAGAUAAUUGAAAAUGCAGGAGUUCCCAGCGUGGCUCAGCGGUAAUGAAC